AGUGAACGCUGGCGGUAGGCCUAACACAUGCCAGUCGAACGGCAGCACAGUAAGAGCUUGCUCUUACGGGUGGCGAGUGGCGGACGGGUGAGGAAUACAUCGGAAUCUACUUUUUCGGGGGGGAUAACGUAGGGAAACUUACGCUAAUACCGCAUACGACCUACGGGUGAAAGCAGGGGAUCUUCGGACCUUUCGCGAUUGAAUGAGCUGAUGUCGGAUUAGCUAGUUGGCGGGGUAAAGGCCCACCAAGGCGACGAUCCGUAGCUGGUCUGAGAGGAUGAUCAGCCACACUGGAACUGAGACACGGUCCAGACUCCUACGGGAGGCAGCAGUAGGGAAUAUUGGACAAUGGGCGCAAGCCUGAUCCAGCAAUACCGCGUGGGUGAAGAAGGCCUUCGGGUUGUAAAGCUCUGUUGUUGGGAAAGAACAGCAGCAGGUUAAUACCUCGCUGUUCUGACGGUACCCAAAGAAUAAGCACCGGCUAACUUCGUG
rnacentral:rRNA from 1 species